GUGGGGAAUAUUGCGCAAUGGGGGAAACCCUGACGCAGCAAUACCGCGUGAGUGAAGAAGGUUUUCGGAUCGUAAAACUCUUUUAUUGGGGAAGAAGAAGUGACGGUACCCAAUGAAGAAGUCCCGGCUAACUACGUGCCAGCAGCCGUGGUAAUACGUAGGGGACAAGCGUUGUCCGGAAUCACUGGGCGUAAAGGGCGCGUAGGCGGUUUUAUAAGUCAGAUGUGAAAGGUACCGGCUCAACCGGUGACGUGCAUUUGAAACUGUAAGAAUUGAGUACUGGAGAGGCAAGUGGAAUUCCUAGUGUAGCGGUGAAAUGCGUAGAUAUUAGGAGGAACACCGGUGGCGAAGGCGGCUUGCUGGACAGAUACUGACGCUGAGGUGCGAAAGCGUGGGGAGCGAACAGGAUUAGAAACCCUGGUAGUCC
rnacentral:rRNA from 1 species